UUAAGUGCCAAGCAGAUGGUUGAAAUCUGUUUUGUAUAAAAUGUGUGCUUUUUUUCCAACUGUGUUCUUUGUAUUCAUAUUCAGCCUAGGUUUCAGCCAUCAAAACACUGGCACUAUGUCGAUCAUUAGCAGCAUUUUAGACAACUGGCAACUAAGGUAUUCACUGUUCUCCACAAAAUGUUCAGCUAAUAUUUCCCAGAUGUAUAAUUAAGGCAAAAGAUCAUCUUCUUAAAUUGGUAUCAGCACUUUGGACGGCUUCUGGCUUUCAGCAGAUUAUAUCAGUGGAAAACAAUUUUAUAUCAAAAGACGCAACCUAAAAACGCGAGCAGAAAUCUCGGAGACUUUGCAAAUCAGUUCAGUUUGGUCCGGGCAACGACAACACAAACCAGCUAACGAGACUGCGGGAGAGCCCUGGCUAAAGGCGCCCCUGAACAAACACGUUUUGGGGGGCACAUCUUCCAGCGGAUCCAGAGACCACUGGAAAACGGCAGAGUUGCGCUUCAGUAUCUGAGGGUGGGGGGGAAGACUGUACUCACCUUUCAAACUCCUGAGGUAAAUCAGGGUCAGUGAGCAUGCUGCAAAAGCACAGUUUCCCUUUGUCACAGCAGCCACCUAGGAUCGCCUCCAACUGAACCUGUCAAAAUGAAGAGUAGGUUAUAGGGAGCCACAGGAGCUGGAGUCAGGGAGAGGAGACAGAGAGAGCAUAAGAAGGAAACAUCGUGGCAGCAUAAAGAUAGAAACAAAGAUAAUGGCCAUAAGGCAGGAUGCUGAGAUCCGUAUGGUCCCAGCUGCUGUCUUGCUACAGCUACUACCUCUGGUUGUUUCCACGAAACUCCAAUCCAGAAGGUCACCGGAGCAGUAUGUGAAGUGCUAUGGUUUAAAAACAGAAGAAUUCAAGGAAAAUGCAUAGCAAAUCUACUUUUAUGUAAAACUGACCAAGUUCCCAAUGUACUGUUCAGAAUCGAAGCUUCCCAAGGUCAAUCUGAUAGUCAUCUUCAUGAAGAUGAAAAGGACUCUGGUGGUAAGAAUCAGACGAGUAAGGAAUUCAUGUAGUCAAUAAGAAGAGAACCCACUCAAAUGGGAUCACGCCUUUUCAACACGCUCUUGGCCACCAAGCUUGCUGUAACUUUUCAACUUGGAAAGAAAUUUGGUGAACUCACUCCACUAACAUUUUACCUAGAGACAGCAGCAAAGUGACAAUGGCACCAGUAAGUGGCUUUGUUUCUUGAUUGACAAUGUCCGUGGAAUACUUUAGUACACAAGACUCAGAGAACUUUUCUCACCAUUAACAUACGUAUUAUAUUUAUAUUAACUAAUCAGAGCAGUAAUGAGAGCUACUCUGAGUAAA